UGCGAUUAUCUUACUUUUAGCAUUACCCAGAAACAACGACGUGAACAUAGUAAGUUCUGUUUCCUUUGGGGUGCUUGUUUAUCGUGAGUCCCCUUGCCUCUCACGUUUGGGGUGCUUGAAUUUUGCACUCUUC